GGUAAGUGUGCCUGAACCACUUAACGGGACCAGCGCUUGGUAGGUGCCGUGAGCAGCUGUGGUUGGAGGAAUACCAAUGUACCAUUUAAAGAGACGGACAGCAGCUUUAAGUUUCCGAACCCGAGAGAAGGAGAAGAAAGGAAAGAAAGAAAACAUCACCAGUAUUAUCGAAGGAUUAUUUUGGAGAAAAAUAGGAUGGGAAAAGAAAAAGGAAAAAGAAAAACAUUGGCCAGGGCGAAGGAGUUUAUUCGAAUAAAUAAAUAGAUAAAAAGUGACAUUUAUAAUGGAUGAUAGAGGAACAAAACAUUUUUGUCUAUUACGGUAAGUCUAAAAAGAAAAUCCAAAUAAGAAAUAAAAAAGGCAGUUAAUAAUCCCUACCCCCCCUCCCCU